GGUCAAGCGAACAAGUGCAUGUGGUGGAUGCCUUGGCGAUCACAGGCGAUGAAGGACGCGGUAGCCUGCGAAAAGCUACGGGGAGCUGGCAAACGAGCUUUGAUCCGUAGAUGUCCGAAUGGGGAAACCCACUCCUUUUGGAGUAUCCAUGGCUGAAUACAUAGGCCAUGCGAAGCGAACGCGGUGAACUGAAACAUCUAAGUAACCGCAGGAAAAGAAAUCAACCGAGAUUCCCAAAGUAGUGGCGAGCGAAAUGGGAUGAGCCUUGCACUCUUUAUUUGUAUUGUUAGCCGAACGC
rnacentral:rRNA from 2 species